GUUCACGUGUAAUAAUAUGUCAACGUUCAUGUUCCAGAGUUCGAUAAACAUAAUCGUCAUGAUUAUUGUUAUCUAAAGACAGUUUGUAAACGUUUCUUUUGUCAGUCAUCGGACAAUCGUUCGCAUUUGAACAUGUUUCGUUACAAAAUUUUCGACAGUGGACGUUUGCUUGUGUAUAAUAAAAUAGAAAAGUGUAGGCAUUCAGGGCGCAUAUUUACUCUAUCCGGAUAUUAUAAAAGAUGUACCUCCACUUCUGCAAGACUGUGGAGACCUGUAUUAACUCAAGCGAAUUACGAUUCAAAGCGAAAUAAUCAAAUUGUUAAUGAGAAGAAGCAGUCUACCUUCACCGAAAGGAGCCAUCUAAAAUAUGCAAGAAGAUUGGUAAUUAAAUUAGGCACU